AAUUUUGCUAUUUUAAAAUAUAUUUUAAAUUGAAUGGACUUCAUUAGAAAGAGCCUUUUAAUAUUAAUGCCAGUGGCGCCAGAGGAGGACUUAUGUUCUGACACCCAUUUCCCAAGACAGCAACAUGUAAUACCCUACUCCCACUUGAGCCAAAAAAACCCGUUCAACUAGCUUGGCUCAAGUGAUCAAUGCCAUCAAAAGACAAUUACCAGCGCUAGCCAAAAACAAUUUCCGCCCCCUCAACCCACAAUCUGAAACGAAACUGCAAUGCCCAGCGAUGAUGAUAAUGAUCUGGCAAAAAGAACAAGCAGAAGCAAAGAGGCAAAAAGCCAGACAAGUCAAACACGGCCAAAGAUCGGCAAUCAAGUGGCCACUUCCAACCGUCCAUCCAUCCAUCCAGCAGUGUGUGUGCCAAUCCCACCACAAUAAACUUCUGCAGUGGAAAACGAAACCAAAAUCGAAUCGCAAAGCGGCAGGGCGAAAGCUUGAACACGAGCACCUGGCCUAAAAAUAGCAACCGCUCAUUAGAAAUGGCUAUAAAUAGAUGGCGGCAUUAAAGCGCGCCAACCUGUGGCACAGUGGAGUGUCGAUUUAGCGGAGACCGGAGUAAAUGGCGGCGGUGAAGAGGUUGAAGUGCGACACAUGACGUAUACGCACCGUGGUCCAAUCUUCUGCUGCAAUCUGGUUAUCUCGCGAAUCGCAAUCCAGCUACUGCACUAGUUACGAGCUAUACGUGACGAGUUUGGGGCACAGGAAAACAGGUAUUCUUCAUUUGGGGGCUUAAGGAAUUCCAAGGGGGGAUCCCUACUGGCAUAUCAUGUCCGCACGUAAUUGAAGUUGAUGUAGUCUAAGAUACGUUUUUUGAAUCAUAAAGACAGUAAAUAUUUA